GAACUUCUGGUAUUGAUUGGUGCUUGCAUUCAUGAUUUACAUUUGAGUGAGUGGCGAACUUGGUGAGUAACACGUGGGAAACCUGCCCAGAAGCGGGGGAUAACACCUGGAAACAGAUGCUAAUACCGCAUAACAACUUGGACCGCAUGGUCCGAGUUUGAAAGAUGGCUUCGGCUAUCACUUUUGGAUGGUCCCGCGGCGUAUUAGCUAGAUGGUGGGGUAACGGCUCACCAUGGCAAUGAUACGUAGCCGACCUGAGAGGGUAAUCGGCCACAUUGGGACUGAGACACGGCCCAAACUCCUACGGGAGGCAGCAGUAGGGAAUCUUCCACAAUGGACGAAAGUCUGAUGGAGCAACGCCGCGUGAGUGAAGAAGGGUUUCGGCUCGUAAAACUCUGUUGUUAAAGAAGAACAUAUCUGAGAGUAACUGUUCAGGUAUUGACGGUAUUUAACCAGAAAGCCACGGCUAACUACGUGCCAGCAGCCGCGGUAAUACGUAGGUGGCAAGCGUUGUCCGGAUUUAUUGGGCGUAAAGCGAGCGCAGGCGGUUUUUUAAGUCUGAUGUGAAAGCCUUCGGCUCAACCGAAGAAGUGCAUCGGAAACUGGGAAACUUGAGUGCAGAAGAGGACAGUGGAACUCCAUGUGUAGCGGUGAAAUGCGUAGAUAUAUGGAAGAACACCAGUGGCGAAAGGCGGCUGUCUGGUCUGUAACUGACGCUGAGGCUCGAAAGUAUGGGUAGCAAACAGGAUUAGAUACCCUGGUAGUCCAUACCGUAACGAUGAAUGCUAAGUGUUGGAGGGUUUCGCC
rnacentral:rRNA from 2 species